rnacentral:rRNA from 1 species
UACGAAGGGGGCUAGCGUUGUCCGGAAUCAUUGGGCGUAAAGCGCGUGUAGGCGGUCCGGUAAGUCCGCUGUGAAAGUCGGGGGCUCAACCCUCGAAUGCCGGUGGAUACUGUCGGGCUAGAGUGCGGAAGAGGCGAGUGGAAUUCCUGGUGUAGCGGUGAAAUGCGCAGAUAUCAGGAGGAACACCAAUUGCGAAGGCAGCUCGCUGGGACGUUACUGACGCUGAGACGCGAAAGCGUGGGGAGCAAACAGG